CCGGGUUCAAAUCCCGGACGAGCCCUGUUUUGGAGUAAGAAUCACUUAAAGGUGAGUUUUUUUGGGGAUAGAUUACUAAACGUAAUAAAUACAGGUUGGUCAGAGUAAAACACAAAAUUGAGAUUUUUGGAAACUUAGAGCACACUCUACAUUGAAAUACCAUUAAAAGGCCUCAUUUUGAAAAUGUAAAAAGUUUGCUAGUAAUGUAGUAUUGUACUAUGAAAACAUUGUCCCUAGCUGUCUAUUCCUGGGUGCAGCGCGUGUACAGGGCCAUCGGGAGCUCAGUUCUUGGCUGCCUAUGGCGUGGUUUAAACUCAUCCACGACAGUGCCCCUCAUCGGGGGUGGGGAUAUCUCCUGAGCGCCCCUUUCCUCGGAAAUGCUGAUUCCCGAACCCCGGG
rnacentral:lncRNA from 1 species